UGUAAAGAUUACUUUUAUAGAUUUAAAAUUUGAUUAUGGUUUUAGAAUUUUUAAAAUAACAUUAUUUAAGUUUAAUUUGUUUUGUGGGCAAUAUUUUUUUACCCCGGUAAUCAAUUGUUUGUAUAAUAUUUGUUCCAGAAUAAUCGGCUAGACUUAUAAAAUUUAUGCUUUAUUUUGUUUCUAUUGCAGUUGUUUUAUUGGUUAAUUUUUGUGGUCUUAGGUUAAAUUUUGAUUUUUUUUUAAUGUAUAACUGUAAUUGUAAGUUUUGUUAAACGAAUUAGAUUAGUACCUAAUUAGUCAAAUGUUAAGAUAGCAGGAGUAAAGUUGGAUUUAAACUGAAAGAAUAUUGGCAGAUUUUCUAAAUUAUCUUUGGAGGUUGAGUGAUAAUUGAGAACCCUCAUUAACAUCUAUUGUUUUUAUCUCAUGUAUGAUCGUUUAUUUUAUACUUAAGGUUUAUAAUAAAAGAUUUUUUUCUUUUAAAAUAGAUAUAUAUUUGGUUUAUGCAGUAGUUAUAUUUGACCUACAAUAAUUAAUGUUGUGGAUUUAUUUUUUUGUAGAAAUAAUGAAAAUGUAAAAGACAGUAAAAAAGUUUUUAUGACUUUUUGAAGAUUAUUUAGAUGUGGUACAAAUCAUCCAUCAAUUGCCCACAGGGGAGUAAGUUGUAGUAAAGUAGAUUUAGGGGAACCUAAAUCUAGUAGU
rnacentral:ncRNA from 1 species